GGUGGUUAACAGCUUGGCUGCUAACCAAAAGGCUGGUAGUUCUAAUCUACCAGCCACUC
rnacentral:tRNA from 1 species